CCGCAGCUACAACCGCUCGGACUUAAGUCUUAAAACCCGAUUUGGGUACUUAAGCUGGCGAGUCUAAGAAAAAAG
rfam:Aerococcus urinaehominis strain CCTG42038B, complete genome.